UUUAGUUAGAAUAUUUCUACCCUUAUCAUCUCAUCAGCACAUGGUUUAUAUGCCAUGUUUAACAUAGAAUAAUUAAUACGAAAUGGAAGGUAAAGAACUAACACAUAUUGGAACAAAUGAGUGAGCUCUGCUUAACGAUUUUAUGGUCAAGUGCAACCUGAAGACCUUAAGAAACAAGCCACAUAAAAUCAGAUGAAAGCUAAGAGCAUGUUUCACAUAUUUAGUUCUGACUUGAAUUCAAAAAAUAAAUUUGCUUCAAAGUAAACAUUAGGAUUUGUUGUCAGUGGGGUAUUUUGCAUCUUAUUCCAUAAAGUUUCUAAGAGGUUUAUCUUUCCUCUUCUUUAUUCUGUUACUUGAGUAUUUUGCUAUUUCCUGAAAGCUAACAUGUACAGCACAUAACAGAAACCGCUAAACUUACAUGCUCAUCAGACUUAAUCCACUGUAAUUCCAGACUCUCCGGCCUUGCAUUUCUAAGUAAAUGCUGCAACAAAGAAAUGUAGUGUUAUUAUACACACAAACCAAAGGAAGCAUUACGUUGUUCUUUUUUUAUUUGAAGACUAAACUAGGAAUCGACAAUUUUAUGCAACAAGCAUUAUCAUUUUGAGGCUUUCUCUUUUUUACACUGUAUGUACAACAUACACAAGUUUCUUCCACACACAUCACAUUUGGCAGUCUCAGGUGUCUGCAAUCAAAACAAAAGUAAUUCAACAGGAGCAAUGUUUGAGACAAUCAAUAGCGGUCGUUGAAACACAAUAUGCAGCAUGAAUGCACAAAUCAUAAGUAAUAAUGAAGGAACUACAUGCACAUGUUCAAUUUUAUCCUUUCAAUGUUCAAAAUCAACCACUUAUUCUGCGUACCCCUACGCACUAUUUCAAAGGGGAAAAGAAUGCAGAAAACUGCAGACGAGAGCACCCCAUAGCACCAAUUUUAUCCUUUCAAUGUUCAAAAUCAAUCACUUAUUCCGUUCCGAAGUUUGUCUUUGUAGUGAUGGUUCUUGAUCCUUUUUUGUGUGUAUAUGUGCAAACAGCUGCUGCCAGAACUUUUUUUAGUAUUAGUCUAUGGAUGAAGUAUAAUGUUCUCUCUUUUCAUACUCCACUUUGGUUUUCUUAAAUUUGUAGUGUUACUACUACUAGUUCUUGGUCUUAGAAGAAGAAUAAGCUGCAUUUUUAGUUUGCUGAACUAAUUUAAUAUUCAUUCCAAUCUACCAUCUCUAGGAAAGCAUAUUGAAUGCAUCAUGCUACUAAUGAAUUUGUAUGCUUCAAUGGCAGUUCAUUAUUAUUUAUUAAGAUCACUCAAAUGCGCGCAACUGUUAGCCUACCUUUGCUUCAAUCAUACUCAUAUACUUAACUAUUGCCAAGGCUUAGUUAAUGUUUCCAUACUAUACAACAGUGGGUAAAUCUGAAAUCAACCAACAUAUAUAGCAGAUAAUGAGAAGAGAAAAAACUAAUAACAAGGAAUAGAUGUAACAUACCAGCAUUGGUUUUGGAAACAGGAAACCUCUCAUAUCUUCUUACAGUGCUUAAAUUUACACAAAUGUAUCAGUGAUUUCUAAAGCACAACCAACAGGCCCAACAACAGAACUACAACUCCAAGGGCUAUGUAUUUAUUGUCAGGAUCAGUGAUUUCUACAGCACAACUAGCUGAAAGACGGCAGCACGGUAAUAAAUAAGCUGCAUCCUUAUUUAAAUCGUUACCACUGCCUAUCUAGUCAGAUAAAGCAAAAAUGUACAUUAUGAGGUUAUCAGGAAAAUCUUAACGGAAAAAGAAUAACCAAAAUAGAGCACAAACUGGUCUAAAAAAGUAAAUGUACCAAAGGUCGUGUUUAUGUUGUUCCAAAGUCAGACCCAGGCUUCCUAUCUAAUAACUCUCUUAUUGAUACCCCCAAAUCCAAUAGUUGAAAAAGAAAUAAGAACGAGAAAUGGGGAACUGUUUCAAGCUGUUGUUUCCCUUUGUUCUUCUUUCCUUCUACUUAUAAAGAAGUGAACUUUAGCACAAUCUUAAAUAGCUAGAUCGGCCUUUAAAAUCAUUAGGAUACAUAUAGAUUCUUUAGAAUUAGGCAAAAAGCAAUCAAGAAAGACCAACCAUUGGCGCAGCGUCUGUUAAAAAAGACCAACCAUUGGCACAACUUCUUUAAAGCAUAGAAUUAUAGAACUUAUAUUUUAUUGAAUAACCACAUAUCAUGUAUUUUAA
rnacentral:lncRNA from 1 species